rnacentral:rRNA from 1 species
AUAUCAAUAAGCGGAGGAAAAGAAACCAACAGGGAUUGCCCUAGUAACGGCGAGUGAAGCGGCAUCAGCUCAAAUUUGAAAUCUGGCGCUUUCAGCGUCCGAGUUGUAAUUUGCAGAGGAAGUUUUGGCGUUGGCAGCGGUCCAAGUUCCUUGGAACAGGUCGUCACAGAGGGUGAGAAUCCCGUACGUGGCCGCAGGUCUUCGCCGUGUAAAACUCCUUCGACGAGUCGAGUUGUUUGGGAAUGCAGCUCUAAAUGGGAGGUAAAUUUCUUCUAAAGCUAAAUACUGGCCAGAGACCGAUAGCGCACAAGUAGAGUGAUCGAAAGAUGAAAAGCACUUUGGAAAGAGAGUCAAACAGCAC